ensembl:lncRNA
CUAAUCAAGGGCUUCAUUAGUUGCACCAGGUGUGCUUGAGCUGGAACACAUGGAAUACCUGAACAGGCUAGGGGUAGAAAGAUAUGGAAUACCUGGACCGGGCAGAAAAAGGAAGCUAUCGACGGCUGCAAGCAGAUUUCUAAGACUCUGGAUCCACCACAACCCUGUUCAGAAUAAAGAGCUUACUGAAAAUCCACAUGGUCUGCUGUUAAUCCUGGCUUCAGGUAGACUGAGGAAAUCUACCUGUGAAUGAUAUCAUUGCCUCCUCGUGGCUCCAGGGUCCCUGGUUUGAUCUUGAGCUUGGUGUGUGUGUGUGUGAGAGUGUGAGAGCCCUGCACUGGACUGCCAUCCAUUAUGCGUUAAAGGCUGCAGUGAAGAUGGAUGGAUUGAUGUGUGUGUGUGUGUGUGUGUGUGUGUGUGUGUGUGAGAGGGAGAGAGAGUUUGUGUGCCGUCCUUCACGUCCUUGGCCCGUCCCUCACAAGAGAACUGUGCGUUACGCUGUUGCUUGUUGGAAUGGAUACUAAUCAGAGUGGGGAUACACCACUACAGGACCAGAGUUGAGAUGUUCUGGAGGAAGAUUUGGCUGCCAUUCGCUAUAGGACGUGUUGAGUGAGGGUGGAGUUCAGCCUGCGUCCUUGAAAGCCUGUGUUUAAACUCUAAAAUAGAGCUUUAGUGGAUGACCACGACUGCAGCGUGCAAUUAGGAGGCCGUACACCUACCAAGGAAGAAGCUCACUGCAGCAUCACACACCAGUCUGGUUUGAUGAGAUAGCAAUUUUUAGUUGGAAGCAACUUGAAUAAGUGCAAACAACGGCACAUGAACUCAGUCCCCUUUAUCAGUUUGAACCAAAUAAAACACACAUUAAUCGUUGCCUGUAAUGGGAUUGGUGCAUACAGACUGACGUGUUGGAUUUGUACUGGUUUCUCAUGGUCAUGAUUUCUUGGAUCAUAUAAACA